rnacentral:lncRNA from 1 species
NNNNNNNNNNNNNNNNNNNNNNNNNNNNCCGGGGUGAAGCCGGGGCUUGGGGGCGACGCUGGACGUGCGAUGGCGACACGAGACGGAGACGAGACGGAGCGGCCCGGGGCGCGGGCGGGAGUGCGGGUGGGUGCUGGCGAGCGCGGGGACCCCACGGUGGGGGCAGCGGGACCGGGCUGUGCCCCCCCCCAUUCCCCCCCACCACGGGGUAGGCUGCCACAGGGCACCGGCGCGGCCACGCGUGGGCAGGCGGCGAGAACGGGCAGCGCGUGCGGGGACCCACGGGCGUCGUGUGGCCACGGCGGGGCACUGCGCCGGCACGGCAUGGCACGGGCAGUGCACGGGCAUUGCACCAACGCGGCACGGGCAUUGCACCAACACGGCACGGGCAUUGCACGGGCAUUGCACCAACACGGCACGGGCAGUGCACGGGCAUUGUACGGGCAUUGCACCAACGCGGCACGGCCACUGCAUGGGCACCGCGCCGAAACGGCACGGGCACUGCGCCAACACGUUACGGGCACGGCCCGGGCACCGCACGGCGUUGCACUGGUGCAACACAACCACUGCACGUGCACUGCACCACGGCGCGGCUGUUGCGUGGGCGUUGCACGUGCACUGCAGCAGCACAGCGUGCCCACCGCGUGGCAUUGCACCGCCACGGCACGGGCGUCGCACAGCUUUGUGCACGCGCGUCGCACCGCGGUGUGGCCGUUGCACGGGCGCUGCAUGUGCACGGCGCCAGCACGGCGUGGCAGUGCACCAGCAGGGCACGCGCAUUGCACGCGCGUCACACACGCAUGGCACCGGCACGGCACAUGCCCUGCACCGGCAGGGCACGCUCAUUGCACAUGCGCUGCACCGUGGCACGGCCGUUGCACGGGCAUUGCACCGCCACGGCAUGGCUGUUGCAUGUCACGGCACCGCUGCAGCGUGGCCACUGCGGGGGGGGGGGCACCGUGCCCCCCGGGGGGGGCACAGCUCCUGCCCCCAGCCCGAAGGCACGUGGUAAGGCCGGCUGUUGGCACGCGCGCGCCGAGCGUGACCGCGAGCAUCGGGUCGGGUGCCGGGGGGCUGGGGGGGGGGACGGGACACGACGC